rnacentral:misc_RNA from 1 species
GAUGAAGAACGCAGCGAAAUGCGAUAAGUAAUGUGAAUUGCAGAAUUCAGUGAAUCAUCGAAUCUUUGAACGCACAUUGCGCCCCCUGGUAUUCCGGGGGGCAUGCCUGUCCGAGCGUCAUUACAACCCUCAAGCUCAGCUUGGUGUUGGGCCCCGCCGCCCCGGCGGGCCCUAAAGUCAGUGGCGGUGCCGUCCGGCUCCGAGCGUAGUAAUUCUUCUCGCUCUGGAGGUCCGGUCGUGUGCUCGCCAGCAACCCCCAAUUUGUUUCAGGUUGACCUCGGAUCAGGUAGGGAUACCCGCUGAACUUAAGCAUAUCAAUAAGCGGAGGA